rnacentral:rRNA from 1 species
GACGAACGCUGGCGGCGUGCCUAAUACAUGCAAGUAGAACGCACAGUUUAUACCGUAGCUUGCUACACCAUAGACUGUGAGUUGCGAACGGGUGAGUAACGCGUAGGUAACCUGCCUGGUAGCGGGGGAUAACUAUUGGAAACGAUAGCUAAUACCGCAUAAUAUUAAUUAUUGCAUGAUAAUUAAUUGAAAGGUGCAAUUGCACCACUACCAGAUGGACCUGCGUUGUAUUAGCUAGUAGGUGAGGUAACGGCUCACCUAGGCGACGAUACAUAGCCGACCUGAGAGGGUGAUCGGCCACACUGGGACUGAGACACGGCCCAGACUCCGACGGGAGGCAGCAGUAGGGAAUCUUCGGCAAUAGACGAAAGUCUGACCGAGCAACGCCGCGUGAGUGAAGAAGGUUUUCGGAUCGUAAAGCUCUGUUGUAAGGGAAGAACGGGUGUGAGAGUGGAAAGUUCACACUGUGACGGUAUCUGACCAGAAAGGGACGGCUAACUACGUG